rnacentral:lncRNA from 1 species
AUUCAUUGAAGCCUGAGUAGCUUCAAUAGAGGUAAGUCUAUCUUCUACAGAAGGUGAUGUGGUUCUGCACAUCCUGUGAGUAUAGGACAAGUGGCAAAGUUUCCUUCUAGCAGGUUCAGAAAAUGGAAUGGGAGAGCUUGGAACUGUAGGAGCUAUAAAGGGAGUGGAUUCCCUAACUGGUGACAGUGUUUUAACUGGGGAAUCAACCCUUUCAGGUGUAGUUUCUCUGACUGGCUCAGAGAUUAUAGGGGUUGAUGUGACUUCUGUGCCUUCAUCAUCAUCAAUGUCUGCAAGAAAAACACUCAGAGUAUGUGACUCUAGAGCUUCAGUAGCUGCCUCAGAGUUUUCUGCCAUUUGAAUCUCCUGAGCAGGAGCUGCAACAAUAUCAUCAGGUUGAACUAAAGAAUCUUGAAUUAGC